GCAGUCGACGGUAACAUGGAUUGCUUGCAAUCUGAUGACGAGUGGCGCACGGGUGCGUAACGCGUAUAGAACCUACCCUUUACUGGGGGAUAGCCCGGAGAAAUUCGGAUUAAUACCCCAUAGUAAUACUUUGUGGCAUCACAGGGUAUUUAAAGUUUCGGCGGUAGAGGAUGGCUAUGCGUCUUAUUAGCUAGUAGGCGAGGUAACGGCUCACCUAGGCUACGAUAAGUAGGGGCCCUGAGAGGGGGAUCCCCCACACUGGUACUGAGACACGGACCAGACUCCUACGGGAGGCAGCAGUGAGGAAUAUUGGACAAUGGUCGAGAGACUGAUCCAGCCAUGCCGCGUGCAGGAAGACGGCCUUAUGGGUUGUAAACUGCUUUUAUACGGGAAGAAUAAUACCCACGUGUGGGUAGAUGACGGUACCGUAAGAAUAAGGACCGGCUAACUCCGUGCCAGCAGCCGCGGUAAUACGGAGGGUCCGAGCGUUAUCCGGAAUUAUUGGGUUUAAAGGGUCCGCAGGCGGGCCAGUAAGUCAGGGGUGAAAGUUUGCGGCUUAACCGUAAAAUUGCCUUUGAUACUGCUGGUCUUGAGUUGCGGUGAAGUGGCUGGAAUAUGUGGUGUAGCGGUGAAAUGCAUAGAUAUCACAUAGAACACCGAUUGCGAAGGCAGGUCACUAACCGCCGACUGACGCUGAUGGACGAAAGCGUGGGGAGCGAACGGGAUUAGAUACCCUGGUA
rnacentral:rRNA from 1 species